AGCUGCUUAGUUUAAAAAAAAUUUUUAUUUGUGGUAUAAAAGAUGUGGUGG
rnacentral:tRNA from 1 species